UUGCGCCAUUUCAGAGCUAGUCUCUCGUGCUGUUCUUAUGGUAAGCUCGUUGUACUCUAUAAGUUUCUAACUUCGAUGUGAUAGAUUGUAUAGAUGCUGAAAUGGUCGAUUGUUUGAGCUUGAGCUUUGUAUUUUCAAAUGAAGGGACUUUUUAAUUAAUCUUGGUGGAGACAACAAUUAGUAGUGUAAUAUAUCUCCAAAUGCAUAUUCAGAACAGAAUGUAUAUUACAUGUUGUUGAAGUUAUUUGGAUUUUCUUGAAUUUAACUUUUUGCAUCCAAGAACAGAAUGUAUAUUACAUGUUGUUGAAGUUUGUAGGAGUCGUGUCCGGCUUAUAUCAUCAUCUCAUUCUAGUGCUGUUUUUUUCAAAGAUGAUUUAUUACUCUUAUUGUUGUGUAACCAGGUUUUUAUUUCCAUGAGAAGCAAUUUACAGCGUCUGAUAUCAAGAAAGGCAAAGACCCAAUCCAAAGUUGCUUUGGAUGUUGCAGCUUUCUCUCUUGGAUUUGUCACCUAUUGAAAGAUCGUGGUAUGUUUUUUCUAUAUCCUAUUGCUGAAUGGUAUGAAGAUGAACUUAUCUAACUUCAUUUUGAACAAAAUAUAUGAGAUGAAAAGAAAAACUUGUUUACUACUUAAAAAGAGUUUUUUCAACCUCUUUGAUAACUAAAGAAAAUACUAAUAAUAAAGAAACAAAUCGAUCAGUCUCUCAUGUGCUUUUCUCCUCUCUCAUCGGGUGGGGUGUGUAGUCUGCGGACGAGUCCUUCUGGAGUUCGUUGCUUUCUAUCAAAUCCUCUCAUGGAUACAAAUCCUGCACAUCACACCAUCAUAUUGUUAUUCAUAUAUUUCAACUUAAUAAUUAAAUAAAACUCGAAACUAGACAACGUUUGUUACCAGUCCAAAAACAUAGUCGAGUUCUUGUUUCGUCUAACAUCCGAAAAAUGGAUGUCACUGAUGAACCACAAUAUAGCGCACGCUUCUCCAACCCAUUACAUAACUCUCUAGAAAACACAAUAGGUUCUAAACUCGUCUCAUGAUCUGCAAAAACCUGGAAAAAAAAAGUUUUCAGUUCAGUGAAAACCAAUACAAUGCAGAAAAAAUAAACUUACCUCAUUGGUUUGAAAGUAUGUGCCAUUAAGUGGGAAACCACCUUGCAUUGCUGUUCUACAAGGGAUCUGUUCAAUUUGCAUUGAUCCAUGUAAGUUCAAGUCAAUAGAGUUAUUAGAAAUUUAGAAUGAUAAGUCUUUUAAUUCAGUUUUUACCAGAAUUGUUCCACGGUAAGUGUUUGAACUUUCUUCUCGUAUAUUCCAACAAUAAGAACAAGUCUUAAUCACGCAGAGGUUUGUUCCAUCUGAGUCACAUUUCUUCUUUGGUGGCAUGAACGAGUUUGACGUUUCACCUAGAAAAAAAAAAUCGAAUGAAAAAUUAGUUUAUGCUUAUGUGAAUGAUGAUAAAAGUUUUUUGUGUGUUUACCAUACCUGGUUGCCAAAGGGCAAGAAGAUAUGGACUAGGAUCAUCACAUUCUCUUCUCUCAAACUAUAAUACAUAACAAAAUCAUAUUAAUAUUCUAACAGAUCAUACAAAAGUGAUGCCAAUCUUUAGUAUAUAUAUACUUACAUCAUUGAGGAUCUCAUGGUUAUCAGGAAGCACAUAUCUGCAAAACAAAGUAGAUUAUAUAUUCCCAUAAUAUGAUAAUCUUGCAAAAGUAGAUAAACAAUACUUACACCACAUGUUCAGUUCUUAAUCUGUCAUAGUACUUUGUUUUACGAGGCAACUUCAUUGGAAUGCAUGCAUUCUCCUGGGUCAUUACUGCUAAUGCUUUUGAAAUCUCAUCAUCAGAACCGUUGAGAAUCGUUCCAAUUUUCUUAAAUACAUCCACUACGUUUUUCUUCAGUGCAUCAAUGUCGAUAUUGAUUCCAGGAAUUGCAGCAUUAGACCGACAAGAACUUCUGCAAGGAGUGUCUUCAAUGUCUGGCAACUCUGGAAUUUCUCUAGCUGGAGAAGAGGGGAACUCAACUAUUGGCUCACAAC
rnacentral:lncRNA from 1 species